CAGCCGCCGCGGUAAUACGAGGGGGGCAAGCGUUGUUCGGAAUUAUUGGGCGUAAAGGGUGCGUAGGCGGCUUGACAAGUCUUGUGUGAAAUCUAUGGGCUCAACCCAUAGUCUGCACGGGAAACUGUCGGGCUUGAGAAUGGGAGAGGUGAGUGGAAUUUCCGGUGUAGCGGUGAAAUGCGUAGAUAUCGGAAGGAACACCUGUGGCGAAAGCGGCUCACUGGACCAUUUCUGACGCUGAUGCACGAAAGCUAGGGGAGCAAACAGGAUUAGAUACCCCGGUAGUCCCUGUCUCUUAUAC
rnacentral:rRNA from 1 species